UGGUGUAGCUCAAUGGUAGAGCAACUGAUUUGUAAUCAGUAGGUUGCGGGUUCGAGUCCCAUCACC
rnacentral:tRNA from 1 species